CCUACGGGGGGCUGCAGUGGGGAAUAUUGGACAAUGGGGGGAACCCUGAUCCAGCCAUGCCGCGUGUGUGAAGAAGGCCCUCGGGUUGUAAAGCACUUUCAGUGAGGAAGAACGCCUGGUGGUUAAUACCCAUCAGGAAAGACAUCACUCACAGAAGAAGCACCGGCUAACUCCGUGCCAGCAGCCGCGGUUAUACGGAGGGUGCGAGCGUUAAUCGGAAUUACUGGGCGUAAAGCGCGCGUAGGUGGCUUGAUAAGCCGGUUGUGAAAGCCCCGGGCUCAACCUGGGAACGGCAUCCGGAACUGUCAAGCUAGAGUGCAGGAGAGGAAGGUAGAAUUCCCGGUGUAGCGGUGAAAUGCGUAGAGAUCGGGAGGAAUACCAGUGGCGAAGGCGGCCUUCUGGACUGACACUGACACUGAGGUGCGAAAGCGUGGGUAGCAAACAGGAUUAGAUACCCCUGUAGUC
rnacentral:rRNA from 1 species